rnacentral:lncRNA from 10 species
UUAGCUCACAAUUAUACAGCAAAGUCUCCUGGGAGGGUUUAUAUGUUAAGCUCUGUCAGUAAUUUCUCCCCUAGCAAGAAUGAGGAAGAUGAAGAGCUCGGGUAUCUGAGGGCUGGUGUGUCUGCAUGCGUGUGUGUUUUGGGGGCCGACUGAAGGAAGAGAAGGCUGGAGAGAGGGAACAUGGGUCUGAGGGCACAUCGCUAAGGGGUCAAGAGGCCUAAAGGAGGAGUCUAAGGCUCUCCAUCGAACUUGGACUUGGUCUACAUUAGACUUUAACCUCCAUGAGGCUUGGACUUUCAGGCUUCCUCCCUCACACCGCGGGCAGGUGAGGCGUCUGCUACAGGCCUGGUCUCGCAGAGGGGGCCCAGCGCCCCCCGCCGCCGCCUUCUCCUGGAGUCUGUGUGACAGAAUGGGACCUGUGGGAAAGCAGCACGUCAGCACCCAGCCCCGCUUGCGCGCCAGCAGCUAAUUAAAGCCAGGAAGGUGAUGGCGAUUUUCAACUCAUUCCCGUUACAAACAGCCGACCUUCCUACCGAGUUCAAGUACCUUCUGCCUGGCCUGGAAGAACAAUAUCUCUCUGUCUCCCUCUUCCACUGGCCCUCACCUGCCUUCCCCUGAACAUGCAUUUUGCCUGACAGGAGACAGAGGCAGUUGAGAUGGAGUCUUGCUAUAUGGCCCAGCUGGUAAUGCCUAGAUUCUUGAGUCCCUCCCUGGCUCAUCCCUGGGAGCAGCACUGAACCCCUUGUCUGACACCUGUCUGGAAAUGGAGCCUGCACAUUGACCCUAGAUGCUUGCAGCUUGGUCCAGGAGGCCAGCAGGACCAGAGAGAAGACCACAGCGACACAUGGGGAUGGCUGUCCCACAGGCAGAAAUGAGCAGCCGGGAGGAAGCCCAGGCAGCCAGCCACCCAGCUCCCUCCACAUCGUGGCCCUAGAACGGAGUCUUGAAGAAUAAGAAGCCACAGCUUGUCAGGGAAUCAGGCUGGAAAAAUGUUAUGAGACUGAGUAAGACCAGAGAUUCCUCAGCAGUGCCUGGAGAAGACCAGGAGAGGAAGCAGAAGACCCUCCUCAAAGAAGCAGCCUUCACCUCCAGACCUCCCAGCGGGACUUAGACAAUGGGGUUAGGCAGUCACAUGUCUGCACGUGGAAACUUUCUGGGACUGUGCUUGGAUCCUGGCUCUGCCUUUUACUAGCCAUGUGACCUUGGGAAAAUCACUUGACUUCUCCGUGCAGGAUUCCUCAUCUGUAAAAAUGGUCUAAGAUUAGGAGCCACCUCAAGGUUGUUGUAGGAAUUAAAUUAAUUCAUGUUUAUAAAGUGCUUUGAACAGCGUUUGGCACAUGGAGAAUUAAAUGAGCAAACGGAAGAGCAGCAACCCUGAGUUACAUUUCUCAAGACACCGGGGCUCUUGAUGGCACAGCAGCAGCUUGCUAGAGCUUGGUAAAGAGACUUGGGCCUGGUACCUGAAGGGCAAUUCCUUGGCCAUGACAUUGUAGGGAAAGACCUCUAUGGGUGUUGAAAAGACAAGGCGAGGACAAGAAGAGUUGAAAAGGAGCUGUUCUGAAGCCACCUGGCUGUGGAUGGAGGAAGCCACAUGUAGCUUAGGUAGCCUGCUAUUGUAAUUUUUUCUGCAACUGAAGAAUUCGAAAUGGGUUUGGUGGGUAGCGAAGGGCAGAAUCUGGCUUCAAGGUGACAGAGUUUGCAUAGAGAUGGCCUUCUUGAGCAAAGGUAGUGACUCCUACAUUUUUUUUUUUUGUAGAGUUGUGAUACCCAUGAGUUAGUCAGCUUGGGCUAUCAUAACAAAAUACCACACAUUGGUUGGCUUAAACAACAGAAAUUCAUUUUCCUGUAAUUCUGGAGGCUGGAAGUCCAAGAUCAAGGUGACGACAGAGUUGGGUUUCCUCUGAAGCCUCUCUCCUUGGUUUUCAGAUGGGUGUCCUCUUGCUGUCUCUUCAUGUGACUGUCCCUCUGCAUGUGUGCCCCUGGGGACUCUUUCUUAUCUUAUAGUGACACUAGUUCUAUUGGAUUGAAGUGUACCCAUACGACCUCAUUUAAACUUAAUUACAUAUUGUAAGGCCCUAACUUCAAAUACAGUCACAUCCUGAGGUACUGUGUAUUAGGGCUUCAACAUAUAAAUUUUGGGGCAAUCCAGUUCAGCCCAUAAAAUCCCUUUUUGGUUGCUUGAUUCUGUUUAUUUGGUGUCAUGCCUUCCUUUUCCUAAAGAACUUCAUGAAUAGAAUUACUUUCUAAGUGAAAGGAACAAAACUGAUUUUUAUUAAAAAUUAUUUUGAGAUGCUUGUGACAAAUUUUGAAGUAAGUGAAGAUUUUCCUGGAGCUUCUACAAAAUCCUGGCUGAGAAUCCCUGCUUUCUGGACAGUUGAGAAGGAAAUACACUUAGUACAGCUGUUAGAGAGAUAUAGUUGCAACCACUGAGUGCUUAUUAUCUGCCAACUUAAAUAUAUUGCCCAAGGGAAUAACAAAUAUUCUAGUGUUCUUGUUAAGUAUAUUGUCUAAGGUCACACAGCUCUUAAACAACAGCUUCAGGAUUUGAACCUGGAAUCUAUCUGACUCCUAAGUCCAGAUGCUGUUCACCACAUUAGGUUGAAGCAUGGCCAGUGUUCAUAACAUACAACUAUGUCUCCAUAUCUUUUGCUAACCAAUGUUCUUGUAUGUGCAUACCUUACAGGGCAGCCAUUCACCACAAGCCCUACUAGAUGGCUUCCUGUAAUAAGGGUAGAACAGUAGUACUCUCCUUUUGAGAAGUUAUUUGUAAUUUUGUUGGUGGGCUGACAUUUAGGCCCUGCUCUCCAGCCCCAGAGGGGAUCCCAUAACCUAGAUCAGGCCAAUGAUGAUUAUCUCCGUGACUGUAGUGGCUGGUCCAGCGGGGAGGGUCAGGCAGGUAAGCUGGCCCAACCUGAGUCCUUCUUGAGGAUUUUAGAAACUGAAGGUAGGAGAGAAAAAUUCUCUCUUUUCUUCUGGGGAACGGGAUGAAGGUGGUGGGUAGGCAGAGCUGUUGGGAUGUGGAUCCAGGGAUUCUGGAAGUCCUGUCCUCCACCAUGUAAAGAAUACAUCCUGCAGAAGGAGAGAAGGGAGCCAGCACACAGAGAAGCAGAGUCAGGAGAUGGAGAAGGAGAAUCCUGAGAGCCUGAAGGUCCCUGGGUCCAGCCAUUGUCAAGGCCGAGUUCUACCGUCCUUAAGUUGUUUACCUUUCUUUCUUGCUUGCUUCUGUUAGAAGAUGAACACUCAAUGAAAAAUCACCAAACAUCUGAGGAAAGCCAUCAAAAUGAAAUAAACGAAACACACAAGUUCCUAAACACAAGUGAACAGCGUGGGCUGGGUUUUUGUCGCUUGGAACUGGAAACGCUGACGAUAAUGCUGACCUCUGAGCAGACCCACGUGAGGGGCAGCUGUGGUGUGGUGUGAUGAUGCUGGGAUAGGCACUCAGAUGGUUGAGUCUGAGUUUGGCUCUGAUAUUAUAUCAACUGCAUGGGCAGCUGUGGUGUGGUGUGAUGAUGCUGGGAUAGGCACUCAGAUGGUUGAGUCUGAGUUUGGCUCUGAUAUUAUAUCAACUGCAUGGGCAGCUGUGGUGUGGUGUGAUGAUGCUGGGAUAGGCACUCAGAUGGUUGAGUCUGAGUUUGGCUCUGAUAUUAUAUCAACUGCAUGGGCAGCUGUGGUGUGGUGUGAUGAUGCUGGGAUAGGCACUCAGAUGGUUGAGUCUGAGUUUGGCUCUGAUAUUAUAUCAACCGCAUCAUUUUGGGGAAGACACAAUUUCUCAGAAUUUUAUUUAGUUGUAAAAUAAAGAUAAUGAUAUUACAUGCUCUGUCUACCAUCUAGAGUUUUUGUCAAGACAAAC